GCGGCCCUCCCCAGGUGUCUGAGCAGAGCUGCUGAAGCUGCAGAAAUGUGCUGGCGCCUGUCCACCGCCGCACACAAAACCCAGCCAAAAGCGGCGAGAGGAAAAGCGAAUAUGGCGCUGCUGAAAAUGGAGACUCCGCAUCUAGAAAGUCUUUCUUUCCUUUCCUCUUUUCGCUCUUACUUCGUCGAUCUUUUCCCCCUUGCCCUCUCACGAGGGCCUCCUGCGCUUUCCUUCGGGUGUUCUCUACCCCUCGGCCCCUUUCCUGUUCUUAUGAAUAACCUCCUUUACUCGGUUUUCCUUCUUCCUUUCCACUCCCGGUUCCUCUUUCUCCAUUUUGUGUCACAGGCGCCUUGCUUCUUGUUCCCUUUCAGGGCGCGCACUCCCCCGCCCGGCUCACUUUAUUUUGUGUGUGGGUGGCGGAGCAGGGAGGGGGUGGCAAGGAUCGUGAGGCUAAGUAUCGAGUUUGUUUGUUUGUUUUUCUUUCUUUCUUCUUCUUCUUUUUAAAGGUGUUAUCUUAGGAGCCAAGCAUCUCCUUUGGUCCUGCGCUCCUUCGCCUAGCGCCUGGUGCCCCCCACCCGGCUGCAUCCGAGGCUUGCGCGGCCCGGUCCCAUCAGCCGAGCGUCGCCCGCCCAGGAGGAGGCUCGGGUUCUCCGCAGAAGCGAAUACUUUCUCUUUUUGUUUUAAGUUAGAACCUUGCUUUUGCAGUGAUUCGUUGCUGUGGCGUGAUUUUAAACAGGUGAGAAAUCGGAGUCUCAUUUUCCCAGGGGGGCUUCCAAUGAGGAUUUUAAGAGAAGCGUGCAAAGAAGACAGCAAUGUCCAUCUUUUUUUUUUCUUGUUUUCUUUUGAACAGAGGGAACCCCCACGCGCUGAGAUAGUUAUGUUUUUAAGGCUAAACUUUUUUAAAAUUAGUUUUUCUUUUACACUUAUGGCUGACUUUUGAUCCUUUUAAAGAAAGGAUGAAGUCAAAACAGAUUAAUGCUUUUGAAUACACAACGUCCCCACGUCCCCAAAUUGUGGUGCUGGGAUAGUUCCUCUAAGAUGCAUUCUGAUUUUGAAGUUCAAGGUCUCUAAGCGCUGUUAAGCGGAACCAUGAAAAAUACGUUGCUACAUUAAAGAUAAAACAGACGGUGAUACUGACUGCAGAAUCGUAGUAGAAACUUUUUUUUUUUUUUUGAGGCUGUGCAGGAUUUGCCUUGGUUUUAUUAGGGAACCUGCUAAUAGAAGCAAUUUCAAGUGACGGGCUUCCCUCAGUAAAAAGCUGGAAGCAAUGACAUCUUUUCUAUCUGAGUGACUCUCCUUAGUCGUGGUAAAUAAAUAAAUAAAUAAAUAAAUAGAUAGAUAGAUAGAUAAAUAAAUAAAUAAAUAAAAAUUAGUUUACAUGCAGUGUUUGAAAAGAAAAUGAUUUUGCUUCCCAAGUUUUUAUGUGUUUUCUUUUUUACCAACUAUAUUUCACUUUAUUUACAAUUGUCAGUUUAUUCUCACACCUUCUGGUUAGUUUUAUCUUCUCACCAUGGUCUGUUAGAACCCCAUCCUCGAGCAAAAAAACAAAAACAAAAACCACCCCCCCAAAACAAACAAACAAACAAACAAAACAGGUGUUCAUCCCUGUGAGAUGCUAAUGCCCCUGGAACUGUUUGAAAAGAGCAAAAUUUUGUAAGGAGAUUCUUUUCAAAAAGUGUUAGAGAAGUAUUCUUCAAAAACAUCUUAGAAUGUUUCCUUAAAAAAUUUCCUUUCUUGGUUUUCAUUAAUUGCCUUUGAUUAAAAUUAGGUUACAAACAUAUCUUAAUUUCAGACUGUUUCUUUAUAAAAGAAAGGAGAAAGUAAAUAGGUGUUGGCAAGGACUAAACCAAUGCAACUAGGCCCUGUUGAGAGCCUAAAUCUGUAAACUGGUACCCUUAAAAAACAUCAAUCAACUUGAGGUUCGUACAGGUAGUUCUUUGACUCAAACAGUUGAUUUUUAAAAGUCUUAUAAAAUAGGUUAAAAUGUGUUUUUAGUCCAGGUUCCUACUUCUUUGUUAUGCAUUUCUCCUCGUAGAUAAAUAAAUGAAUCUAACUUGAUGAGUAGGUAGAUUUUUCUCCAGAAGAACUUUCUAAAAAUGGGCAAAGUUAGGGAAGUGAUUAAUACCCUUCAGUUUAAUUGGAAUUAUUCAGUGCUUAUACCAAGUUAAUCCUAUUAAGAUGCUAUUUCCUGCUCAGGGGGAUAAAUUAAGCACAACUUAGAUUAUUUUAGGUGGACAACUGGUAUAUAGUCUAAGCAAUGGGGGCUGGAAAAAAGUAUCUCUUCUCCAAAAAAUAUAGAUUAUGUACCAGUAAUGUUCAAAGUACUUUGAGGAAGUGUAUUGAUGGGAUGAAUAUAAAUCAUAGUGACUGUUGUUAAGGGGUUUACGGAUUAUAAAGAGCAAUUGAGCUUCCUUUAUUUUCUCUUAUUUAGAAAACAAACAUUCAUAAGAAAAAAAUAAAAUUAGAUCCCUUCUUUUGCCCACAUACAAAUUCAGUUUCAGAUCAAUUAAAAAGUUAAAUAAGAAAAAUAGAAUUAAAAAAAUAUUGGAAGGCUGGGCGCAGUGGCUCACGCCUGUAAUCCCAGCACUUUGGGAGGCCAAGGCGGGCAGAUCACGAGGUCAGGAGAUUGAGACCAUCUUGGCCAACAUGGGGAAACCCUAUCUCUAGUAAAAAUACAAAAAUUAGCUGGUUGUGGUGGCACAUGCCUGUAAUCCCAGCUACUCGGGAGGCUGAGGCAGGAGAAUCGCUUGAACCUGGGAGGCAGCGAUUGCAGUGAGCCGAGAUCGCGCCACUGCACUCUAGCCUGGCAGCAGAGUUAUCUCUGUAACUCUCCAUCUCAAAAAAAAACAAAAAAAAUUGAAAGGAAAUAUAGAAUUUGUAGUAUGAAAGGAUUUCUUAAACAAAACAUUAAAAUACACAAUCCAUUAAGGAAAUGAUCAAUUGGAUGACAGUCAUGCUCCAAAUAAUGAUAUGUUAGUCAAUACAUGAUAAUAGUCCCAUAAGGUUAUAAUAUUGUAUAUUUACUGUACCUUUUCUAUGUGUAGAUGUGUCUAAUUAUACAAAUACCAUUGUGUUACAAUUGCCUACAGUAUUCAAUACAGUCACAUGCUGUACAGGUUUGCAGCCUAGGAGCAAUAGGCUUGUACCAUAUACAAACCAUCUAGGUUUGUGUAAUUACACUCUAUGAUGUUAGCAUGACAAAACUGCCUAUGGACCUAUUUCUCAGAAUAUGUCCCUGUAGUUGAGUGCCAUGUGACUGUAUAUAAAAAUUUUUAAAAAUACUUUUUACAUGACAAAAGAUAUCAUAAAAUGUUACAAGAUAAACUGAGAAGAUAUUUUCAAGGCAUGUACUUGGUGAAGGAUUCAUAUUCAAAAUGUAUAAAUAACUUAUAUAGAAAGAAUUUACUAAUUUAUGUAUAAUGAAUUUCAUAAAUAAAAGAUGUGGGCCAGGAUAUAUACAUAUGAAGUGAAAGUAUAGUACUAUCAAUAGGAUGAAUACAUAUCAACUUCAAAAAAUGUAAUUUCCUUUGGGAUAGAAAGAAAGAAGGAAGGAGGGGGAAUAGGAAGAGGGCAACAACUUCCUGCCCAGGGGGCAACAACUCUUUUUUUUUUUUUUUUUGAGACAGAGUCUUGCUUUUGUCCCCCAGGCUUGAGUACAAUGACUCGAUCUCGGCUCACUGCAACCUCCGCCUCUCGGGUUCAAAUGAUUCUCCUGCCUCUGCCUCCCAAGUAGCCAGUUAAGGCACCUGCCACCAUGCCCGUCUAAUUUUUGUGUUUUUUAGUAGAGACGGAGUUUCACCAUUUUGGCCAGGCUGGUCUCGAACUCCUGACCUCAGUUGAUCCGCCCACCUCAGCCUCCCAAAGUGCUGGGAUUACAGGCAUGAGCCACUGCGCCCAGCCCACAGCAAUUCUUUAUAAAAAGAUCAGAGGCAACUAUGGGAAGACAUUAACACUUUUUGUUCUUUGUAGAUUGUUAAAAGCUUGUUAUAAUUUAUUUAAAAAUCUCUAACAUCAAUUCCUAGUCUAAAGAAUGAACAAAUGACACAUUUCUUUUCCUUAGUCAAUAAUAAUCUUGUAAGAUGGUGUUCACGUGCUUUUCUUUGAGGGCAAAGAAAACACCAUUCCCCAGUGUUUUUCCUGGGCAGUGUUUGAAUAUUAUAUGAUACUCACAGCAGAGAUUUUCCUAGUUUGGCUUCUGUUGUAAGCUUGUUUUCUGAGUAGAUUUAAAUGAGAAGAACAGAAACAUAUUUGAAACUAUGACUAUGUAUAAGAGCAUUUAUUCUCCUAUAAUGAAAUCGUGGAAAAUGUUUUUAAAAAGUGAGCAAACAAAAACCUCCACACCAUUAUAGAAACACGGUUAAAAAACUAUUGAAUAAUCUCAAGCCUAGUGUGUAAUAAUUAUUAAGUGUGUCUAAUUUGUUGUGCUAAGUGUCAGGAAUUGGUAUUGUGGAAGGAUAUGUGAGAUCUCAUUUUCUCCUUUUAUAUGGCAGGAGUUUAUACAGUAUUUACAUCUGUCAUUGAUACUUUUUAUGAACAGAAGUUUUGUUUACUUAUAACUUCCACAGGGAUUAUUCAUAUGGAGCACUGGAAAGAUGUAACAUUUCAUUUGCUUUGAUACCUUGUGUUUAUUUUAGGUCGAAAAGCAUCAUGAAGCCAAGUGGUUAUUGUUUUGCUUAUUCAGUGUGAACUGAGUGAGCCAGGUUUGUAUACCAAGUGAUUCUCGUGGUGGACAAUACCAAUAUGAUUAUGCCAAAUGCAUUGCUUCUGAGGCAUCACUCUUUGGGCACAUAUAGACCCUGCUGAUUUCUGCCAAAGCACUCUUCUUAAAGUUCCAAAACAUUACCCCAAAACCUCUAUAGCCCCCUAUUGCCAACAAAAUUAAAGCCUUUCUCUUCAUUGGCAUUAGAAGCCCCUGUAACCCAUUGCUUUUCCAUUUCCAGCCUCUUUCCAAAAUUACCAAACAAACUCUGUAUCCUGCAGCCACCAAACUGUACUAGUUGUAAUAUAUUCACUAAGAACAGUGGUCUCUCAUUUGUCUCUCUUUUCUCUCUUCUUAUAUCAGUUAGAAUGUAACAGACAACCCAGCUAACACAGAGGCUCAUUUUUCUUAUGUGACAAGAAGUCUGUAGAUAAAGAGUUGCUAGUGUUUUCUUGGGGGUUCAGUGAUAUCACCUCUGUGAUUCAGUUGACCUUCAUAUCAUAGUUGCAAAAUGGCUGCCGUAAGUACAAAAACCACACUGACUGCUGGGUGGGAAGGCAACAGAAAAUUUGUUCUUGGUGAGUCUUACUCACGUCAAGGAAGUAUAAUAUUUUCCAAAAUGCCCCACCAAAGGAUUUCCUCUUACAUCAUAUUAGCCAGAACUGGGACAUAUUAUCACCCUUUAUCUGGGGUAGAGGCCCACAUUUCCACAUCAAAGGGAAUUUGCUCAAUGCCUAAAUCAAACUGGAAUUCAGUUAAGCAAAGAAGAAACAGAGGAAUGGUUUUUGGGUAGGCAGUAAACACUGUCAGCUACAUCUCCCUGAAAGCCAUCACUCCCUUAAAAUAUCUUUGCGUAAUGUCAUCAGUUACUUCUGAACUUUUUCAUCCAAUGGACAGUGUUUAUUUUCUAACUUACUUGAACUUUUUGUGGGGCUUAGCCACACCCUUUUUGAAAUUUAUGUAUUCAUCAAAUACCCACUCAUCACUUACUGUGUAUUAGUCACUCUGCUGGGCAAAGAGAAUGAAAAAAUGAGUCAUGCAUGGUCCUGAACCUUCACAAGUUUAUAGCCUAGUGGGGCAGACAGGUGAAUAAAUAAGUGCAAAAGAAUGUUAUAGAUACUGUGAUAAAAUUAUGUUUCGUGGGCCGGGUGUGGUGGCUCAUGCCUGUAAUCUCAGCACUUUGGGAGGCUGAGGCGGGUGGAUCACCUGAGGUCAGGAGUUUGAGACUAGCCUGGCCAACAUGGUGAAACCCCGUCUCUAAUAAAAAAUAACAAAAAUUAGCUGGGCGUGGUGGCAGGCACCUGUAAUCCCAGCGACUGGGAGGCUGAGGCAGGAGAAUUGCUUGAACCCAAGAGGCAGAGAUUGCAGUGAGCUGAGAUCACGCCAUUGCACUGCAGCCUGGGCAACAAGAGAAAACUUUGUCUCAAAAUAAAUAAAUAAUAUGUUUUGUGGGUUUUUUUUUUUUUCUUUGACAGGGUUCUUACUCUGUCACCCAGCCUGGAGUGCAGUGGCACGAUUAUAGCUCACUAUAACCUCGGGCUCCCUGGCUCAAGCAAUUCUCCUGCCUCAGCCUCCUGAGUAGUUGGAACUAUGCAGGCUAAUUAUUUUAUCUUUUGUAGAAAUGGGGUCUUGCUAAGUUAGCCAGGCUUGUCUUGAACUCCUGAGCUCAAGCGGCCUUCCCACAUUGACUUCCCAAAGUGCUGGGAUUACAGGCAUGAGCCACCAUGCCGGGCUUAGAAUGAUGAAUGAGAUAAAAUGGGGUACAAAGAAAGGAGCAGCCAUUUCUGGAUCUCAGGUGUGAUGUCUCUUUUCAGGGAAGGACAGGGGUGAUACAGCCAUUAAUAAAAGCAAUCUCACUUUCCUGGUUGGUUGUCUCUUUGCCUCCUCCCCUGGAAUAAUACAGACCUCUGUAGAAAAUCACAGGCAGGGUAGGGAUGACGGAGCUGGCCUCCUCCCUUCCCUUGGCCUGACAAAUAUGCAUGGAAUUCCCAGGAAUGUUCAAGCUUUUUUUUUUUUUUUUUCCAAACUUCAGAUUAGAAUCCAACUCAUGUAGAAUCCAUGUAGAAUCCGACUCAAACAGAAUCCAUCAGGCAUGAGAAUUCUGGAAUGCCCUUCCUGGUUUAUCUACUUCAUCUGUGUUCCAUGAAGGGCACCUGGUCUCACACCUAGACUCCGGGAGCUCCAGGUCCCUACUCUCUUAGGUUUCAGGGCCUAACCAAUCAGGAUGGCAAGAAGGAUGUAUUUGGGGAGAUCCAAGCCUGUCUGCUUGGCUGUAGUGUAGGACUGGGGGGAAAAGAAAGGCACAGUAAGGAUCAAAACAAGGCUGGAGCAGUAGGUAAAGAUGAGUUCAUGCCAACGUAGGAGGCUUGAAGAUGUUUGGUAAGUCAUAGGUUCCCAAACUUUCCAGCUCACUGCAUCUGUAGCAUCUUCGUAAUUUGUUCAUGGUGCCCUCAGCCAGAAGACAUACUUCACAAUUCCAUUCGUUAAGUAGGUAAGUCUAAACAACAUAUUAGUGGUCAUUUGUGAGGUGUUUGAUAGGUGGGGCUGUAUUUCUCUCAAACAUUUAAAAUAUCCCACAGCAACCUUGUGAGUUUGUUCCCUGUGGUGUCCCAGGGUGACCUGAUGGGAAAUUUGAGAACCAUGGUAUAGGUCGCUAAAGAUUUUUCAUCUGGUGAAUUAAAUAUUUGAUUUUGUAUUUGAGAAAGCGCCAUCUUUCUGUAGAUUGGAGUAAAGGCGUGGUGGGAGGUAAGGAGACCAUAAGUUAGUGGUAGUCAUUUAGGAGAGAAGUGAUGGGGAUAUAAAAUGAGACAUACUAAUGAGCAUGCUGCUGGAUCUAAAAUAUGUUAUGGAGGUAGAAUGGAGAGGAGGAUUUCCUUAUCAAUUGGUUUUUGGAGAGAAAGAAAGAGAGAGGUUGAUUCCUAGACUGUGGGCUUGGGUUAAAGGGUAUAUGAUAGCAGACAUGUUGAAAAAACAUAUCUUUGGGAGAAAGAAUAACAUUUUUUGGCAUGCUGAAUUUGAGACGUGCAAGGAUGAGAUGGAUAUAGGGCAUUGGAGCUCAGGAGCAGAUCUGAAAAAUAUAAGUUAAUUAUGAAUAUAUAGAUUAGGGCUGACAACAUAAGAGUAGACGAAAUGGCUCAGGAUGAGUGUAGAAUAGAAAGAAGCAUGCCCAUAUGUGAUGGUCAAUUUUCUUUUAAUUUUAAUUUUUGUAGAGAUGGGGUCUCACUAUGUUGCCCAGGCUGAUCUUGAGCUCCUGGCCUCAAGCAAUCCUCCUGCCUCAGCCUUCCAGAGCACUGGGAUUACAGGCAUGAGCCACCAUGAUUGGUCUGGAUUCCUUAUAAAAAAUAUUAUAAUGAGUACAUCAUGUUUAGAGAGCCAAGAAAGGGCAGGGUCCUGCCUAGGAGACAGAGCCAGGACAGGUAUCAUGAAGCUUGUGUAAAGUGAUAUGUUUUGGGUGGAGCCAAGACUCUUCCCCUACUGUUGUUCUGUUCAAUAGAGACCCUGGGUCUUUCUUUUUCGUUUGUGGUGGCGCCCCCUGGAUAGAGCCUCAGAGAGGCAGCAUCACAAAGAGCUAUGCAAGGAAUUGGUUCUGCAGGGGAGACAGUGGAGGGCAAGGUGUGGGGGACUGCGGGGAGGAGGAGGGGGUAGGGGAGAGGUGGUAGCACACAG
rnacentral:lncRNA from 1 species